ACCCGCACAAGCAGCGGAGCGUGUGGUUUAAUUCGUUGCUACACGAAGAACCUUACCUGGGUUUGACAUAUAGGUUGUAGGGGACUGAAAAGGGACCGACCCUUCGGGGAGCCUAUACAGGUGUUGCAUGGCUGUCGUCAGCUCGUGUCGUGAGAUGUUCGGUUAAGUCCGCUAACGAGCGCAACCCUCGUCGUAUGUUAUAUGUGUCAUACGAGACUGCCGGUAAAAGCCGGAGGAAGGUGAGGAUGAUGUCAAGUCAGCAUGACCUUUAUAUCCAGGGCUACACACACGCUACAAUGGUCUGUACAAUGGGUAGCCAAGCCGCGAGGCGGAGCCAAUCCUGAAAGCAGGCCUCAGUUCAGAUUGCAGUCUGCAACUCGACUGCAUGAAGCCGGAGUUGCUAGUAACCGCAGGUCAGCAAUACUGCGGUGAAUACGUUCCCGGGUCUU
rnacentral:rRNA from 1 species